rnacentral:lncRNA from 1 species
GAGAAGCUAACAAUUAAAAGAGUUGUACUUUUAGUACCUGAGGCUGCUUAGAUCACUUGAAUUAGAGAUAUCAGUGAGAGGAACGUGGAAAGCUUCGGACCAAGAAAGUUGUUGAAGGCAAGUAGCUGAAGGAGUUCCCCAACGGUAACUUCCUUUGGAGAAUUUGUGAUUCUUUUCAUUCAUUUUCUCAUGGAAUGGCUUCUUGAAAAGCUUGAUUUGUUCCAUUCUCAUUUUUGUCAAUAUAUCAUGUGAAAUCCCAUGGUUGACCACUUGGAAAAAACCCCAUUCUUGUGAAGCUUUAGCUAUCUUUCUCUUGCAUUCUUCCAUCUCAAAAUCUCCUCCAUAUAAUAGUUCAAGAUCUAUCAAUGGCAACUCGCAUUCCUCUACAACAAAGAGGUUGUGGUAAUUAAUGUUUGAGGCCUUUGCAAUUCUUAUGUCGUCAAAAAGUUUCUUGUAUGUCUCCUCAAAAGGAGGAUCAGGCGAUUCUCCCAUACCUAAUUUCUGAAAAAGAAAAGGAUGAUAGAUGUUCGUUAAGAGCACACCAUAUUUGUUAAAUACAGUCAAAGUACAAUCUCAAUUUUUCUGGAUUUUUUUUUUGACUAUUAUAGCGAAAUGCUAUUUUAAAGAACUAAAAAUUGGUUCUAUAAAGAAUUGACUUUGAUAAUGAAUAGUCAUUAUAUAGCGAUACAGUUAUACAAAAGUGCAUUCACUUUUGUUAAUCGGCAAAUAUUAGGGACCAAAAAGAAAAAAAAAGGGAGUAGAGAAGAAGAAGAAGAGGAGGUUUUCCCCCCUUUUCUCUUUAUUUUCCUGCUUCUGUGAACUUACUUCUGAUUCAAUAUCUUUUUAGGUCAUGGCCGGUUUCUAUGACAGUGGAGACAAAAAAGAUACCUGUCCUCUACGUAGGAAGGAGGACGAUGAGGGAGCAGGAAAUUAACCUUGUGCAAUGAGCAGCGAACAACAGGGACCCAUUUAAUUACAUAUCAAAAUUAAAGUAGGCAUGUUUCUAAAAAAUCGGUUAAUAUUCAAGCACAUAUGAGUAUUGAUUUACAUGGUUUUCCACGACACCUAUGUAUACAAACAGAGGCGAACUCAGAAUUUUUACGUGACGGG